rnacentral:lncRNA from 1 species
UGGUAUGCAAAAUUGUCUUUUUAUUUCAGUAAGAAAUAUUAAUUCUACAGACAAAUUCAUUAGUUAAAAUAUACAUUACAUCGGACUAAAAAUACCAUUGAUAGGAUACUUCACUAUCUGAUUCUGUAUCAGCACAUGCAAUUCAAAAGUGGAUGUACUCUUCUCCAAAACUGAAAGGUUGAAUGAGAUUCUGCCAUCUAUAAUUAUUUGCAAUGAACUCUUAAGCUUGAUUAAAUUGAGAACACAAGCGUCUGGAUGGGGGUCUCUAUUCUGUAUUCUUUUAUUUUUUUGUAAUUUUUCUCCAUCAUGUAAACCCCCAUCCACACCUUCAUACAUCUGUUUAUCUAAAUCACUGACAAUAUAAAUGUAUUA